CUUCACCGACCCCAACAGCAACGGCCGAUCGACGGGGCGCUCCUGCCCAUACGUCGCCAGCAGAGCCUGCGCCUC
rnacentral:antisense_RNA from 1 species